rnacentral:rRNA from 1 species
GGUCCUACGGGAGGCAGCAGUAGGGAAUCUUCCACAAUGGACGAAAGUCUGAUGGAGCAACGCCGCGUGAGUGAAGAAGGGUUUCGGCUCGUAAAGCUCUGUUGGUAGUGGAGAAAGAUAGAGGUAGUAACUGGCCUUUAUUUGACGGUAAUUACUUAGAAAGUCACGGCUAACUACGUGCCAGCAGCCGCGGUAAUACGUAGGGAGCAAGCGUUAUCCGGAAUUAUUGAGUGUAAAGGGUGCGUAGACGGGAUGUCAAGUUAUUUGUGAAAUACCUCGGCUCAACUGAGGAA